GGCGGACGGGUGAGUAAUGCCUAGGAAUCUGCCUGGUAGUGGGGGACAACGUUUCGAAAGGAACGCUAAUACCGCAUACGUCCUACGGGAGAAAGUGGGGGAUCUUCGGACCUCACGCUAUCAGAUGAGCCUAGGUCGGAUUAGCUAGUUGGUGGGGUAACGGCUCACCAAGGCGACGAUCCGUAACUGGUCUGAGAGGAUGAUCAGUCACACUGGAACUGAGACACGGUCCAG
rnacentral:rRNA from 1 species